CAGAGCCCAAGCAGCCUGUGACCAUAGAGGCAGGAAACUGUGACACUGGAGGCAGGCAGGGUGUGGGGUUUAUUCUUGCUUGCCUGUAUGCUCGCGGUCACCACCAAGUACUAAGGAAUAAAUGGGCCAGAGUUAUCACACUGAACAUAACAACAUCAGCACCUGCUUCCCCCAUGCAAACAUCGCAAGCACCCCAAAUCUGCCGGAACCUCCCAGGGUCUGUACCAGCCUAGUUUGCCUGUCACUGCAGAGACUUUCAACCGCCCAGCCCUGGCUGACUCCAUCAAGCAGUCAAACCUCCAGAAGCGAUCCUGACCAGAUCUUGCUCCUGAUGCCUGAAGGCUCCUGCCAUUUGUGAUGCAAACAAUAGUCAUUCCAGCCCUACGUCUUGUCAGAACCCCCUCCUACGAUCUGCAUUAUAGCAGCAAACAAAAUGGACGAGAAAGAAAGCCUGUCUUCAGAGAGCUUGUAUUCAAGGCUAACAAACUUCCUUACUAUCAUUUACUGUGCGGCUGAGGACCCAAAUAAAGCCUCAUCUUCCUUAGCA
rnacentral:lncRNA from 1 species